UCAUUUAAAAGCUGGUUUUGAGGAUUUUGGUAUCUGGGAGAAAGCUUUUUAGUCAUUUAAGCAUCCCCUUUAAAAAAAAAUCACCUAACUCGCCCAUAAUUCAGGUCCUGAAUGGCUUCAAAAGAGAGUAUGCUUUUUAUCAUUUCCCGUCCAGCACAUCAAGGCUCAGCUCGAAUGCUCUCUCCUCAGGCCUGUCCUCUCCCAUGUCUUUUCCUUAACCCUUAUUACAUUCUUUGUUUAUCUAAGUCUUAAGACUCCAUUUAGUGAGAACAGGGUCUGCAUCUUAAUCAGCUUCAUCCUCAUGACAGUGCUCAGCCGAUGCCGUGAGCAUAGAAGAACAUCUGCGGCUCUCCGUGGGAUUGUCUGUCCUCAAUAUGCCUGCCAGCAGCCUCAGAAAUCAGAGAACUAGAAACUUUACAACUAUUAUGCAACCCUAGAAGUGUUUUACAAGAAUGGUUUUCAACAUUGUCAUUAAUGUUUCAAAUUUAUAAUUAGCUGUUAGAAAUCUGCCAAUUCAGAGUCCUAUGAUCAAAGAACUAAAUUAUCUCCAAUUUCACUUUGAAACUAAAGUACAAGAUGACGCCCAUUACAGCCUGGUGUUUUGCAUUUUGCUUCUUUUCCAUCUGGCCCCUGCCCACACUAUAUGCUGUAGCUCCUGAGUCAUCUUUUUAUCUGUACAGUACAGAAUCUGCUUUUCCUAAAAAUGAUGUCACAUGGACAGUUCUCAGGCCAUUUUUAAAUUGUUUUAUGUGGACUGAUUUUGCAUUAGAGAGAGGAGGAUUCCCUGGGAUGUGCAGUCCCAUGAAGGCUGGAGAGCCUGCCUCUGGCUCCACCUUACUAGCUCUUCUCUACCAAUGACCUUUGUAACAGGGUUGGUAUCUCCUCACUCAGUUUUAGUAGUGGUAACUGCACCAUGGUGUUGAAGAGAUAAUGCAGCCCAAAACUUUUCAUUGAAGAAAUACUGGUCUAGGAGAGGUAGCCCAAGCUUUGAUUUUUUUGGUAUUCUUUGGAGAAGACACAGUCACAUUCAGUGGAGUUUGAAAGUCUUUGAACAGUAGAUAAGCCAGGUUCAAAACCUACCAGCCUUUUCCCUUCAAGGCUUCAUUUUCCACAGCCUUAAAAUUAGGGACCGAUGUUAUAUUAUUUAUAGGGUACUUCCUAAACAUUUUGUUUUUCUUCCUAUUAACAGAAAUGCAAAUGUGCUCACAAGAGUUUUACCCAAAUGUUCCUAGUUUCCAUUAUGGUUAACAUACAAAGGAGAAGUGGUGAGGCAGUUUCUGUAAGGCUCCUCUCUCCCCAUCCAGUGGAGCCUGAAGCCCAUAGGGCAGGUAGCCAGAAAAGAUGCAGAGUGGGAAGAACAAGCUGGAACCCUGGAACCCACAGGCAUAGGUUGGAGCCCAUGAGGACAUACUGCAGUCUGUCAGUUCUUGUUGCCUCUGACCUUGAUGGUGUGGGCAUCCUGCAGAAACUGAGACCUUUAUCAGAGAAGCUGAAGGAAGAUCCAGGGGAAGCUGAAGCAGUUUCAGGCCCAGGCCCAGAUGCUGAUUCGUGCCAACAAGAUGAGCCAGUAGGUACUCACCCCCUAUUUCGGCUCUCCUAACUGCACAGAGUCCUUCUCAGGAAGUUAGAGUGGAAGCAGGGAGCAGUAAAACUGAGGAGAGGAACCAGCUCUGGGCCUGUCUGUUGGCUGCUGCUGCUGACGGCAGCCUGAUUAUUCUCUGGCUCAGAGGAGCUAUGGCUAGUCCCUUCUUCA